rnacentral:rRNA from 1 species
UGGCUCAGGAUGAACGCCGGCGGCGUGCUUAACACAUGCAAGUCGAACGGUGAACACGGAGCUUGCUCUGUGGGAUCAGUGGCGAACGGGUGAGUAACACGUGAGCAACCUGCCCCUGACUCUGGGAUAAGCGCUGGAAACGGCGUCUAAUACGGGAUAUGUGACGUGACCGCAUGGUCUGCGUUUGGAAAGAUUUUUCGGUUGGGGAUGGGCUCGCGGCCUAUCAGCUUGUUGGUGAGGUAAUGGCUCACCAAGGCGUCGACGGGUAGCCGGCCUGAGAGGGUGACCGGCCACACUGGGACUGAGACACGGCCCAGACUCCUACGGGAGGCAGCAGUGGGGAAUAUUGCACAAUGGGCGAAAGCCUGAUGCAGCAACGCCGCGUGAGGGAUGACGGCCUUCGGGUUGUAAACCUCUUUUAGCAGGGAAGAAGCGAAAGUGACGGUACCUGCAGAAAAAGCGCCGGCUAACUACGUGCCAGCAGCCGCGGUAAUACGUAGGGCGCAAGCGUUAUCCGGAAUUAUUGGGCGUAAAGAGCUCGUAGGCGGUUUGUCGCGUCUGCUGUGAAAUCCCGAGGCUCAACCUCGGGCCUGCAGUGGGUACGGGCAGACUAGAGUGCGGUAGGGGAGAUUGGAAUUCCUGGUGUAGCGGUGGAAUGCGCAGAUAUCAGGAGGAACACCGAUGGCGAAGGCAGAUCUCUGGGCCGUAACUGACGCUGAGGAGCGAAAGGGUGGGGAGCAAACAGGCUUAGAUACCCUGGUAGUCCACCCCGUAAACGUUGGGAACUAGUUGUGGGGUCCAUUCCACGGAUUCCGUGACGCAGCUAACGCAUAAGUCCCCGC